rnacentral:snRNA from 1 species
AUCGCUUCUCGGCCUUUUGGCUAAGAUCAAGUGUAGUAUCAAAUUUAUUUUGCUAAAUGAAAGUAGCUGGACCAAAA